UCUUGGGGAGGAGUCAUUGGUGUGAGGAGGAGCCCCUGGUGUGAGGGGGCUCUUGGGGAGGGCUUGGUGUGAGGAGAGGGUAACCCGGUGUGAGGGGCUUUUGGAGAGGGGUCGUUGGUGUGAGGGGUUGUAUGAGGAGGGGUUUUGGUGUGAGGGGUGAUUUUAGGGGACAGGUGAGAGGUAGGAGGCCAGGAGAGAGCUGGCAUGUGGGGGUGCUGAGGGGAGUUUGGGAAAGGGGGUUUGUGGAAGCCCCGUGUGGAGACACUGAGGGGUGAGAGGGGCCUGAGGGAGAAGAUGGUGGGGGCUGCUGCUGAGGCCAUUUGAGCUCAGAUAGCAUUUUGAGGGGCACCAGGCCUGAGGGAGAAUGAGGAAAAAUACGUUGGGAGGGGCAGACACAUGAGGAGCUCAGCAAAGGGGGUACAUUAGGCCUGGACAUGGGUAGGGAGGAGAGGUGUAGGGGAGAGGCCUGGCAUGGGUGGGGACUUUUUGGGGGCAGUGUGGCAGAGGACAGUGGUUUUGGGGCAGGCUGGCUGUGGUGAGGACAUGGAGCCAAGUGGAGCUGCCUCUCUGGCCAGGAGCAGCUCAUCUACAGGCAGUGACAACCCUAGGAAAUGGUGGGUGACUGCUCUAGUGCAGCUGCCCUCACCAAAUGGGUGUAUUUCAGCCUGCCCUUGGCCAAGCUGUAUCUGGGUUGUGGCCAGAAGAGGGAAAAAAAAAAUCUCAUGGGUUGAGCACAUGGCCUCCUAAACUGUACUCUUGGCUCUCAGUGGUGGGUGCUGAACUUGGUAGGUUGUUGAGCCUUUGUGUGCUUUGGUAUCUCCAUCUACGAAGCAGAGAUAACAGUUGGCUUCAUGCAGGGAUUAAUUAUCGCAUCUUGUAGUCACGUAUUUGUUUAUUUGUUUUUACUAUAGAUUACAGCUGGAGGAAUUCUAAACAGUCCACUUCUCCUUGUCAUGGUGUUUGAGCGCAUUGUGCUCCUGUCUGAACAGAGGAAAUCACUGAGGUUUUCUCUCAUAGCUGAGUCAGCAGAAGAGAGUGUUCUGUUCCUGACCCUGCUGGGUUAGUGCUGACCACCUCAGCUCAGACCCCAGCCUGACAGUGCUGUGACUGCCCUGGCCUUUGUCCUGGACUGGCUGCUGUAGGGAUGUGUAUUGACACCAGCUGACUGUGCUACAGGGAUGUAGCCUCUGGAAGAGUGUGCUGGAGAGGAUGACUGGAGAUGUUGGACAACAGCUGGGGAACUCUUUGAGAAUCCCUAGAUUCCAUAUUAGCAUGGUGGCUUUUCCAGUGAUCUGCAAUGAACAGCUCUGCUGUUGACCUUAUCUGGAUCUUGAUCUCCUGUUUUAUAGAUUUUAUAGUAAGGGGGCUUCUGGUACACAGAUAAUCUGCUGCUACUCAAACCGAAAGUGAAAUCCCUGGCUGUUGGUCUGGUUGCUGUCUUUAGGACACGUGAAUGUCUGCUCCUGUUUUGCUGUAGGUAAUUUCUGUAUGUGGCAAAGUUGUGUGUGCCAGCCUGGAAGCUUUGUCCAUGAGCAGCAACAGUUCCUGUCUCUUGGUUUCUCAAAGCUGCAGCUCCUCACUGGUUCCACAGGCCUGCUUUGUCACAGAGUGUCAGUAACUUUGCAGAAGUCACUGCAUCCUCUGCUGUGCUUGGGAUCAACUCUGGCAUCUGUCUGAAUGUAUGUAUGUCCCUCCUGCAGAUCUGCUUUUCCUAUCCAGACUCUUACCUGGUGACUUUGUUCAUACCCUUUGCCUUAGAUAGAUGGUAGUAUGACUUAUUGUAUUUCUUAACAGUUUUUUAUCUUGAGACAUGGAUUGUUAUUAUGGAUUGUUUUUUAUCUUGGAACAUGGAUUGUUAUUAUUUUGGGAUAGGGGAAGAGGGCAAAAAUCCUGAGUAGAAAUAUGUUACAUUCUGGUCGUUCUUUAAGGAAGGUGUAGCAGGUCACAGAAUCAGUGCAUACAUAUCAUUUGUAAGGAAAAAAUAGGCGACCUUAGGCCUUUUUAUCCAUGAUUCUUUACCACAGAGAUCAGACAGGUGCUAUGUCUCCUUAGCUGUUUUGUACAUCCAUGGUGAAAUCAGUUGAUGGUCUGACCAGUUUCUAGUACUAAGCACUGUGCAUUGUCCACACAAAAUAGAUCUAGUUCU